rnacentral:lncRNA from 10 species
CUGGGAAACUAAGUCACGUGAGAACCUGGGGACGCUAGGUUCCGGAACCUGACCUGAGCUGGGGCCUGUGCUUCCAGCGGGUGGUGGGGGGCCUGGUGUGCUGGCAUCAAGUAAGCCGACUACCUCGGCAAAGGCUUAGGGACAAGAGACCAGCAGCCUGAACUGGCUGGGGCAUCCGGAAGGCUUAGAUCUUGUGGCCAAGAGUUCAGACCGUGGCGAAGUGGAGAGUGACAUGCAGUUGGAUGGCGGUGACUGCGUGGUCCUGCAACCCUGGUUCCAGUCUGGCAAGCAUUGUAGACCUGGCUGCUGAAGACUGACGGGGCCCAGGGUCCGCUGCCCCCACCGCCAUCACCACCUCGGAACCCAGGGUAACGCUGUCAGUCUUUGAGCCUACGAGGAAACCAUUCGGAAGCUCCAGAACCCAGGCCCUAAUCACAACGCCCCUAUCCAGCAGGAAGCAGCCAGAUGAUCAACGACGCCCUUUUUCCUUUUUAUACUAAAGUAAGAAAUAAGAAUGUUAGCCCAAACUGCACUAUUUUGCAGACCCCUACCAUUUUACAAACUGGUCAGAGUGGAAAAUUCCACCAGGGCCUGAGCUGUGAGAAACAUCCUGUCAGGCAGGUCCCAGGCCUAACCCCUGGCUGCACUAAAUUCCUUCAUUAUCAGCAGCCAAACACACCGCCCCCACCCCAUUUUCACAACAAUCCCAGACCUCUCCUGCCCGGGACUGUAACUGGUCCAGCCUGUAAGCGGGAAGGGGGCUCUGGCACUAGCUGGUACCCCCUCUCCGCAGGUCUUUCUCCCAAUAAAUCUGUGUUGCCA